rnacentral:sRNA from 1 species
UUGACAGCCCUGAAAAGUGAAUUUUGAACAUCUCCAGAACAGGUACAGCACAGUCAGAAAUGACACUUUUUUUUUUCCACAUUGCUGCAACUAUAGGUUUCAGCUGCUGUUGAAAGAGAGUACUUCUAGGAACAAAAGAACAGUUUAAUCUCCAUGUUCAUUCAGUUUUUGGCCUCU